AUGGGGGCCAGCAACAGCCAUGGAGAAAGGCAAGGCGAGGAAGAAGAGGAAGAAGAGGAGGAGGAGGAGGAAGAAGAAGAAGAGAGGAAAGGAGGAGAAGUCCCCGCCAUUCUAAAGGGCCGCAAUGAGACCAACUUCUUGCCGGACGCCUCUUGGGUCCGAGGCUGGAAGGCCCUCCUUUCCAAUGUUGGAGGGGCGCUUUUGGGCUUGGAAAAAGCUUUGGGUCCCCGGAACCCCUUCAAAGUGGGCCAAGGGGUCCCGGCGGAGGCCAUCAGUUGCCGGGCGGAAAAGAAGGAGGCGGCAACAGCAGCAGAUCGGGGCCUGCCCCAGUGCGUCUCCCUUUUCCUCCCCGAAUUUCCCCUCCGGCCGCCGGUGGGGCAGCGCCAGCUCAAGGUAGGACCCCUUGCUUUGUCCAGCGUCAUAUUAACGACCCUAAUAACCAAUAAUUAUAUUUUUUAGGAUGCCGUUUCCAUGGAAUAUUUUGAUUUUCCCGUGCAGAUUUUGGGUUUCGUAGCCAAAGGGUCGUUUGGGACGGUACUGAAGGUCCUGGACUGCGGUCAAGGGCAGGUCUUUGCGGUCAAGGUAGGUAAGCAGGGGAAUCCUGGGAGUUGUAGUUUGGGAAGAGCCUUGGAAGAUAAGAACUUGGGAUCCCACCGUUCAAGCAAGGGGGGGGGGGUCACCCUUUUUGGCUCAAUUCUUCUGUCCCGUUUUUUGUAGGUCGUCCCAAAAGUGGAGGUUUUGCGCCGGGACACACUGAAGCAGUGCAAAGAAGAGGUCAGCAUCCAGGUGGGUCCCCGGAGAGGCCUAUGGAGAAUUCCCAUCUGAUAGGAGGUUCCCAUGGGAGCAUUCCGAGUAAUAAUAAUAAUAAUAAUAAUAAUAAUAAUAAUAAUAAUGCAUAGCUGGGGAUUUUUUUGUGUGAGUUUUGUAACCCUUUUGAUGCCCCUUUGACUCCCUUUUCAUGCCCCUUUGGACCCCAUAUACACAUACAUAUAUACACACAGUAGAGUCUCACUUAUCCAACAUAAACAGGCCGGCAGAAUGUUGGAUAAGCAAAUAUGUUGGAUAAUAAGGAAGGAUUAAGGAAAAGCCUAUUAAACAUCAAAUUAGGUUAUGAUUUUACAAAUUAAGCACCCAAACAUCAUGUUAUACAACAAAUUUGACCGAAAAAGUAGUUCAAUACACAGUAAUGCUAUGUAGUAAUUACUGUAUUUACGAAUUUAGCACCAAAAUAUCACGAUGCAUUGAAAACUUCGACUACAAAAAUGCGUUGGAUAAUCCAGAACCUUGGAUAAGCAAGUGUUGGAUAAGUGAGACUCUACUCUCUCUCUCUGUGUGUGUGUGUAUGUAUGUAUAUCUAUAUAUAUAAAAGGGUAAUGAAAUUUCGGCCUAGGACAAAACAACAAAACUACACAUCCCAGAAACACUAAACUUGAAACACUAAACUCAUUGAUGCCUCUACGUUCAUACAACAAAAAGCUCCAGCUACUCCAGAAAACAGCCAGGCUUUGAGACUGCAAGGCUAUUCACUGCUAUUCUACCUGCCCAACAAAGGAUUCCCAUAAGCCACAGCAACGCGUGGCCGGGCAAAGCUAGUGUGUGUGUGUGUGUGUGUGUGUGUGUGUGUGUGUGUGUGUGUAUAUAUAUAUAUAUAUACUAGCUGUGCCCGGCCACGCGUUGCUGUGGCUUAGUCUGGUGGUGUUGGUCAGUCUACAUUAGGUUGUAUUUAUGCUGUGACCUCCACCCUUCUUUAUACUCACAUUAGUAGUAGUAUUUAAAGUCUGUUACCUUCUUCAAUUUUUGUGUUGAUUGAUAAUUGCUUGAGAUCCCUGUUGUCUUUGGUUUGUUGUUAAUCGUGACGUCUGAAUCUGCUGAGUGCGGUUUAUAUUUUUAUUGUGGUACAAUAGUCCUUUUUUUUGUUUUGCCUGUGUUGGUGUUUAAUAUUAUUGUUGUUGUAGUGGUCAUGAAGGUUGGAUAAGUUAGAUGCUACUGUAUUGUUUUUUGGAGGCCCAGUGUAGCACUGACUGGCCUCUCAGCCUCAGUGCCUGGCUGUUUCUUGCCUGUGAUGGUGUUGAUUCUUAUUGUUGUUGUUGUUGUCAUUGUUAUUA
rnacentral:lncRNA from 1 species